rnacentral:lncRNA from 7 species
GGUUCUCAGUGCGCUGGUAACUCUGCUGUUAUCCUCUUUUAGGUGCUGCUGCUGCAGUAUCCCUUGCGUACUACACUGAAAGAAAUAGCCUGGACGUGCACCUGGAAUGUGCUCAAAUGAUACCGUGCAACUUGGAAAUGCCCAGAGGCCUUUAUGGUGAGUUUUGUUGAACAAAGCACAGAAGUUCGAUCGCUGCAUGUCAAGAUGACACUAUUUUGAAUUAUUGGGGAAAAAAAAAAAGAUUUAAAAUAUUUGCUCUUUGAAUGAAAUGAGUAACUCCUAGAAUGACUUCAGGUGUGUAAGAAUCCAUCACUUCCCUAGCUAAUAGGAUUACGGAGGUGAUGAAUUGCCCACUGGAGGUUUUGAUAUCUCUGAAUAAAGAAGACAGCCUGCAAGCAAUACUUGCAGCCCGGGCAUUGCUAUAUACCGUGUUCUGGGCUCCACAGUAUAAAGAGGAUGUGAAGAUGCUUGACAGCAUCCGGAGGAGGGCAACAAAGCUGAAAGCACAAAAAUCUCAUGAAAGCAAAGAGAAUUGUACCUCCAAGAAACUCCUUAACAGCCACCACCACCAGAAGAUAAUGUCUGAUGAGCUUUUCUCAACCAAGAAUUUUCCUCCACCAUCUGAACUGCUUCCCAUCUCGUUAUAAGACCAAAACAGCAGGAGAUUCUGUUCCACGUCUCGUUUUCCAAGCUCAGAGGGAGAGAGGAUCGCGAGAGGCCAUCCAGCUUGAGGCUCAGAGCAGAGGUUCCUGAGACCUCCGUGCCAGGACACCACUUGUCAAGUAGGGCUUUGGUCUUAUUCUUCCCCUGGGUUGACCACUGUUAGACCAAAUGUUGCAUCACAUGUACGGGUGUACCUGUAAUGAAUCCGUACUGUAAUUCCACCUACAGUACUGUUAGCUAAAUAACAUGAACAUCUUAUAUGGGUGAAAUGCUACCUGUCACAUAGAUGAAUGUUUUCUGAGGUGUGUGUUUUCUGGUAAGAAAAACUGACUAGCAGGAUAUCUGAAUUCAAGCAUCUAUUCAUAAAUGCAUUGUACAACUGUAGCAGGUAUUAACAAGACAGCAAAAGGCUGCAGUAUGAUAUAAGCUUCUCUAACAAUUUCACCUCUCACAUUUCACACCUUUUCGUUAGGUAAGCAAGUACUAUAUGUUCCUCUGUACUCUAAAUAGUUCUCUAGUUCCUUUCUUAGAUGAACUGAGAAUAAAUAAUUUACCUGUUUUU